UUCCCCCAGUAGCGGCGAGCGAACGGGGAGCAGCCCAGAGCCUGAAUCAGUAUGUGUGUUAGUGGAAGCGUCUGGAAAGGCGCGCGAUACAGGGUGACAGCCCCGUACACAAAAAUGCACAUGCUGUGAGCUCGAUGAGUAGGGCGGGACACGUGGUAUCCUGUCUGAAUAUGGGGGGACCAUCCUCCAAGGCUAAAUACUCCUGACUGACCGAUAGUGAACCAGUACCGUGAGGGAAAGGCGAAAAGAACCCCGGCGAGGGGAGUGAAAAAGAACCUGAAACCGUGUACGUACAAGCAGUGGGAGCACGCUUAGGCGUGUGACUGCGUACCUUUUGUAUAAUGGGUCAGCGACUUAUAUUCUGUAGCAAGGUUAACCGAAUAGGGGAGCCGAAGGGAAACCGAGUCUUAACUGGGCGUUAAGUUGCAGGGUAUAGACCCGAAACCCGGUGAUCUAGCCAUGGGCAGGUUGAAGGUUGGGUAACACUAACUGGAGGACCGAACCGACUAAUGUUGAAAAAUUAGCGGAUGACUUGUGGCUGGGGGUGAAAGGCCAAUCAAACCGGGAGAUAGCUGGUUCUCCCCGAAAGCUAUUUAGGUAGCGCCUCGUGAAUUCAUCUCCGGGGGUAGAGCACUGUUUCGGCAAGGGGGUCAUCCCGACUUACCAACCCGAUGCAAACUGCGAAUACCGGAGAAUGUUAUCACGGGAGACACACGGCGGGUGCUAACGUCCGUCGUGAAGAGGGAAACAACCCAGACCGCCAGCUAAGGUCCCAAAGUCAUGGUUAAGUGGGAAACGAUGUGGGAAGGCCCAGACAGCCAGGAUGUUGGCUUAGAAGCAGCCAUCAUUUAAAGAAAGCGUAAUAGCUCACUGGUCGAGUCGGCCUGCGCGGAAGAUGUAACGGGGCUAAACCAUGCAC
rnacentral:rRNA from 1 species